rnacentral:tRNA from 1 species
UAAGACAUGGCCGAGUGGUUAAGGCGAUUGACUUACAUUCAUGUGUGAGGGCGUAGGUUCGAUUCCUACUAUCUUCA